GCACUGGACGACCAGACGGAGGAGAAUGGCUGUAUUCAAUACGUGCCUGGAUCACACAGGUGGACGAGGAAUGGCGACCCAUUCCCGGUGUUGGACCACAGUUUUAGGGACAUGGAGGGAAUUAAAUCCAUCCUAACUGAUGAAGAGAAGGC